rnacentral:rRNA from 1 species
AUUGAACGCUGGCGGAAUGCUUUACACAUGCAAGUCGAACGGCAGCACGGACUUCGGUCUGGUGGCGAGUGGCGAACGGGUGAGUAAUACAUCGGAACGUGCCCAGUCGUGGGGGAUAACGUAGCGAAAGCUACGCUAAUACCGCAUACGAUCUAAGGCUGAAAGCGGGGGAUCGCAAGACCUCGGGCGAUUGGAGCGGCCGAUGGCAGAUUAGGUAGUUGGUAGGGUAAAGGCCUACCAAGCCGACGAUCUGUAGCUGGUCUGAGAGGAUGAUCAGCCACACUGGGACUGAGACACGGCCCAGACUCCUACGGGAGGCAGCAGUGGGGAAUUUUGGACAAUGGGCGCAAGCCUGAUCCAGCCAUUCCGCGUGCAGGAUGAAGGCCUUCGGGUUGUAAACUGCUUUUGUACAGAACGAAAAGGCUCUGGUUAAUACCCGGGGCUCAUGACGGUACUGUAAGAAUAAGCACCGGCUAACUACGUGCCAGCAGCCGCGGUAAAAC